UUGAUAAUUUAAAGAAUUUUA
rnacentral:piRNA from 1 species